rnacentral:rRNA from 1 species
ACGCCAGUCUGCGUGGAGCCGACCUUGAAAUACCACCCUUUAAUGUUUGGUGUUCUAACGUAGGCCCGUAAUCCGGGCUGCGGACAGUGUCUGGUGGGUAGUUUGACUGGGGCGGUCUCCUCCCAAAGCGUAACGGAGGAGCACGAAGGUUGGCUAAUCCUGGUCGGACAUCAGGAGGUUAGUGCAAUGGCAUAAGCCAGCUUGACUGCGAGAGUGACGGCUCGAGCAGGUGCGAAAGCAGGUCAUAGUGAUCCGGUGGUUCUGAAUGGAAGGGCCAUCGCUCAACGGAUAAAAGGUACUCCGGGGAUAACAGGCUGAUACCGCCCAAGAGUUCAUAUCGACGGCGGUGUUUGGCACCUCGAUGUCGGCUCAUCACAUCCUGGGGCUGAAGUAGGUCCCAAGGGUACGGCUGUUCGCCGUUUAAAGUGGUACGCGAGCUGGGUUUAGAACGUCGUGAGACAGUUCGGUCCCUAUCUGCCGUGGGCGCUGGAGAAUUGAGGGGGGUUGCUCCUAGUACGAGAGGACCGGAGUGAACGCACCGCUGGUGUCCGGGUUGUCACGCCAGUGGCACUGCCCGGUAGCUAAGUGCGGAAAAGAUAAGUGCUGAAAGCAUCUAAGCACGAAACUUGCCCCGAGAUGAGUUCUCCCUGAGCCUUUAAGGCUCCUGAAGGGACGUUGAAGACGACGACGUUGAUAGGCCGGGUGUGUAAGCGCAGCGAUGCGUUGAGCUUACCGGUACUAAUGACCCGUGAGGCUUAACCUUACAACGCCAGAGGCGUUUUG